rnacentral:rRNA from 1 species
ACUACCUACGGGGGGCAGCAGUGAGGAAUAUUGGUCAAUGGGCUUACGCCUGAACCAGCCAAGUCGCGUGAGGGAAGACUGCCCUAUGGGUUGUAAACCUCUUUUGUCAGGGAGCAACGCCGGCUACGUGUAGCCGGACUGAGAGUACCUGAAGAAAAAGCAUCGGCUAACUCCGUGCCAGCAGCCGCGGUAAUACGUAGGGGGCUAGCGUUAUCCGGAAUUACUGGGCGUAAAGGGUGCGUAGGUGGUUUCUUAAGUCAGAGGUGAAAGGCUACGGCUCAACCGUAGUAAGCCUUUGAAACUGG